rnacentral:rRNA from 1 species
AGACCCGAAACCCGGUGAUCUAGCCAUGGGCAGGUUGAAGGUUGGGUAACACUAACUGGAGGACCGAACCGACUAAUGUUGAAAAAUUAGCGGAUGACCUGUGGCUGGGGGUGAAAGGCCAAUCAAACCGGGAGAUAGCUGGUUCUCCCCGAAAGCUAUUUAGGUAGCGCCUCGUGAAUUCAUCUCCGGGGGUAGAGCACUGUUUCGGCUAGGGGGCCAUCCCGGCUUACCAACCCGAUGCAAACUGCGAAUACCGGAGAAUGUUAUCACGGGAGACACACGGCGGGUGCUAACGUCCGUCGUGAAGAGGGAAACAACCCAGACCGCCAGCUAAGGUCCCAAAGUCAUGGUUAAGUGGGAAACGAUGUGGGAAGGCCCAGACAGCCAGGAUGUUGGCUUAGAAGCAGCCAUCAUUUAAAGAAAGCGUAAUAGCUCACUGGUCGAGUCGGCCUGCGCGGAAGAUGUAACGGGGCUAAACCAUGCACCGAAGCUGCGGCAGCGAACGUAUCACCCAAGACAACUUUACGGAGUUGACGAUUGACGGAGCGAAGCGACGUCAAAGCGUUCAUUAAAGUCGAGUUGGCUUAGGGAUACGUUCGUUGGGUAGGGGAGCGUUCUGUAAGCCUGUGAAGGUGUGUCGUGAGGCAUGCUGGAGGUAUCAGAAGUGCGAAUGCUGACAUAAGUAACGAUAAAGCGGGUGAAAAGCCCGCUCGCCGGAAGACCAAGGGUUCCUGUCCAACGUUAAUCGGGGCAGGGUGAGUCGACCCCUAAGGCGAGGCCGAAAGGCGUAGUCGAUGGGAAACGGGUUAAUAUUCCCGUACUUGGUGUUACUGCGAAGGGGGGACGGAGAAGGCUAUGUUGGCCGGGCGACGGUUGUCCCGGUUUAAGCGUGUAGGUGUGUGUUCCAGGUAAAUCCGGUUCACUUUAACACUGAGGCGUGACGACGAGGCACUACGGUGCUGAAGCAACAAAUGCCCUGCUUCCAGGAAAAGCCUCUAAGCAUCAGGUAACAUCAAAUCGUACCCCAAACCGACACAGGUGGUCAGGUAGAGAAUACCAAGGCGCUUGAGAGAACUCGGGUGAAGGAACUAGGCAAAAUGGUGCCGUAACUUCGGGAGAAGGCACGCUGACACGUAGGUGAAGUGAUUUACUCAUGGAGCUGAAGUCAGUCGAAGAUACCAGCUGGCUGCAACUGUUUAUUAAAAACACAGCACUGUGCAAACACGAAAGUGGACGUAUACGGUGUGACGCCUGCCCGGUGCCGGAAGGUUAAUUGAUGGGGUCAGCGCAAGCGAAGCUCCUGAUCGAAGCCCCGGUAAACGGCGGCCGUAACUAUAACGGUCCUAAGGUAGCGAAAUUCCUUGUCGGGUAAGUUCCGACCUGCACGAAUGGCGUAAUGAUGGCCAGGCUGUCUCCACCCGAGACUCAGUGAAAUUGAACUCGCUGUGAAGAUGCAGUGUACCCGCGGCAAGACGGAAAGACCCCGUGAACCUUUACUAUAGCUUGACACUGAACAUUGAGCCUUGAUGUGUAGGAUAGGUGGGAGGCUUUGAAGUGUGGACGCCAGUCUGCAUGGAGCCGACCUUGAAAUACCACCCUUUAAUGUUUGAUGUUCUAACGUGGACCCGUAAUCCGGGUUGCGGACAGUGUCUGGUGGGUAGUUUGACUGGGGCGGUCUCCUCCUAAAGAGUAACGGAGGAGCACGAAGGUUGGCUAAUCCUGGUCGGACAUCAGGAGGUUAGUGCAAUGGCAUAAGCCAGCUUGACUGCGAGCGUGACGGCGCGAGCAGGUGCGAAAGCAGGUCAUAGUGAUCCGGUGGUUCUGAAUGGAAGGGCCAUCGCUCAACGGAUAAAAGGUACUCCGGGGAUAACAGGCUGAUACCGCCCAAGAGUUCAUAUCGACGGCGGUGUUUGGCACCUCGAUGUCGGCUCAUCACAUCCUGGGGCUGAAGUAGGUCCCAAGGGUAUGGCUGUUCGCCAUUUAAAGUGGUACGCGAGCUGGGUUUAGAACGUCGUGAGACAGUUCGGUCCCUAUCUGCCGUGGGCGCUGGAGAACUGAGGGGGGCUGCUCCUAGUACGAGAGGACCGGAGUGGACGCAUCACUGGUGUUCGGGUUGUCAUGCCAAUGGCACUGCCCGGUAGCUAAAUGCGGAAGAGAUAAGUGCUGAAAGCAUCUAAGCACGAAACUUGCCCCGAGAUGAGUUCUCCCUGAGACUUAGAGUCUCCUGAAGGAACGUUGAAGA